UUUUUUAUUUUUAUUUUUUUUAUUUAUUUUUUUGUAUUUUUGCUAUUUGGGCCGCUCCCAUGGCAUAUGGAGGUUCCCAGGCUAGGGGUUCAAUCAGAGCUGUAGCUGUGGGCCUACACCACAGCAACGUGGGAUCUGAGCCGUGUCUACAACCUACACCACAGCUCACAGCAAUGCCAGAUCCUUAACUCACUGAGCCAGGCCAGGGAUUGAACCCGCAACCUCGUGGGUGCUAGUCGAGUUCAUUAACCGCUGAGCCAUGAUGGGAACUCCCCAAGUAAUUUCUUUUUGAUCAUAUACCCCAUCAGUUCAGAAUUCUAGAAACUGCCAUGUGUUGCUUGCAUUUAAAUCGUAUGCAUGUACUUCUGUGCAGUUAUACAAUGUGCACUAUAAAUUAGAAAAUAACUAAAGAUUGUAUAUGCUAUUUUAAAUUUUUAAAAUUUAUUAUUAAUAGUAAAAUAGUUCACUAAAAUAUUGUUUAGUGAAAGCAGUGUAGUUGAAAAUGCUUUAAAACUUUUGAAAGCCUUGGUUCAUUCAUAAAACAAAUAAUUAGUGUAUUAAACCCAUGGCAUUAUACAAUUAAAAUAUAUACAAUUAACAUUUGUCAAUUAUACUUUAAUAAAGCUGGAAAAUUAAAUAAAAAAUAAUCUAAGCCCUCUUCAGGUGAUACUAGACCAUGAUAAAUACAAAAAUCCUUGCACACAUGGAAUCUUCUUUCUAGUGGAGGUUAACAUUUUGUGAUAUGGUCAUUGAACUCUGGUUUUAGGGUUGAGCUUGUUUUAUAUUUGUUUUGGUUGCUGUCGUUGUUGAAAUAAAUGCCUUCCUUCCAAGGUAUACAGAUAAAAAUGGGAUAAUUAUGGUAUUUGUGUUUCCUUAAUAAUGGUCUUCAGUUUUCAAUAUUAUCUAACAAUUCUGGACAGGUUUGUAUUGAAAUUUGUCUGCUCAUUUUCUUUUUCCCUGAUGUUGAUCAUUUCUUGCACACUCAUCAGAAUGUGUUGUUUUGUUUUGGUUUGGGUUUUUUUGUUUUUUAGGGCCACACCCACGGCAUAUGGAGGUUCCCAUGCUAGGGGUCUAAUUGGAGCUGUAGCUGCCAGCCUACACCACAGUUACAGCAAUGCAGGAUCCGAGCCACGUCUGUGACCUAACCAGAGCUCAUGGCAAUGCCAGAUCCUUAACCCACUGAGAAAGGCCAGGGAUUGAACCUCUGUCCUCAUGGAUGGUAGUCAGAUUCGUUAACCACUGAGCCACAACAGGAACUCCCACGCAUGUGUGUAUUUUUAAUACAUUUUUUCAAAACCUAGUGAAACUGUGGAUUUAAACAGGUUAGGAAUUAUUAAUUUUCAAGGUGAUGUUCAGGUGAGAUUAUCUUUUUAAAGUGGGUUCGUUUACAUUUGUAACUGUAAAAGCUUGCCAACUCGCCGUGUAUCUGUUCACUAAUAGAUUACUUUAGUCUUACUGUCCUAAUUACUUUAGCUUUUAUAAGUCUUCCUGGGCAAUAGACUAGGAGUCCGCAAACAUGUUCUUCCUCUUCUUGAAGUAUAGCUGCAUUACAAUGUUGUGCUCUACAGCGCAGUGAUUUAUUUGUACAUAUGUAUUUUUAUAUUCAAUUAUGGUUCAUCACAAGACAUGGAAUAUAGUUCCGUGUGCCAUACAGUAGGACCUCGUUGUUUAUCCAUCCUCUCUGUAAUAGUUUGCAUCUCCCAAUCCUCCCCUCCCCAGCUUCUCCUCCUUGGUAACCACAAGUCUAUUCUCUGUAUCUGUCUGUCUUUGUUUCCUAGAUAUGUUGAUUUGUUGCAGUUAAGAUUCCACAUAUAAGUGAUAGCAUAUGGAUUUGUCUUUCUCUUUCUGAGUUACUUUGCUUAGUAUGAUAAUCUAGGUCUAUCCAUGUGCUGCUGCAAAUGGCGUUAUUCUUUUUUAUGGCUGAGUAAUAGUCCAAGUUGUGUAUAUUCACACACACACACACACACACACACAUCUUUAUCCAUUCAUCUGUUGAUGGACAUUUAGGUUGCCUCCAUGUCUUGGCUAUCCUAAGUAGUGCUGCAUUGAACUUUGGGUGCAUGUAUCUUUUCAAAUUACGGUUUUCUCUGGAUAUAUGCCCUGGAGUGGGAUUGCUGGGUCAUAUGUUUCUUAAUAUGAAACUCCAUUCUGAUCUUCAUAGUGGUUCUACCAGUUUACAUUGCCACCCACAGUGGAGGAGGGUUCCCCUUUCUCCACACCUUCCCCAGCGUUUGUUAUUUGUAGACUUAGUAAUCAUGGCCAUACCAACCAGUGUGAGGUGGUCCUUCACUGUAGUCUUGAUUUGCCUCUCACUAAUUAGAGAUAGAGAGCAUUUUUUUCCGUGUACCUCCUAUCCAUAUGUAUAUCUUCUUUGAAGAAAUGUGUAUUUUUUGAUUGGGUUGUUUUUUUGUUGUUGAAUUGUAUGAGAAGUUUGUAUAUUUUGGAAGUUAAGCCCUUGUGGGUAGCACUAUUUGCAACUAUUUCUCCCAGUCUGUAAGUCGUCUUUUUGUUUUGCUUAUGGGGUUUACUUUACUGUGCAAAAGCAUGUAAAUUUGAUUAGGUCCCAUUUGUUUGUCUUUGUUUUUAUUUUUUUUGCCUUGGGAGACUGACCUAAGAAAACGUCGGUACAAUUUAUGUCAGAAUGUUUUGCCUGUGUUUUUUUGUAGGAGUUUUACGGUGCUCUGUCUUACAUUUAAGUCUUUAAGCCAUAUUGAGUUAAAUUUAUGUAUGGUGUGAGAUGUGUUCAGACUUCAUUGAUUUGCAUGCAAUUGUCAGCAAACUUCUUUUUUUCUUUUUAGGGCUGCAUCUGCAGCAUAUGCAAGUUCCCAGGCCAGGGGUCAAAUCAGAACUGCAGCAGGGGCUUAUGCCACUGGCAACACUGAAUCUGCAACCUGCACCACAGCUUGUGGCAAUGCCCGAUCCUUAACCCAUUGAAUGAGGCCGAGGAUUGAACCUGCAUCCUCACAGAGACCACAUCGGGUCCUUAACUUCUUGAGCCACAACAGGAACUCCAGCAACCAUGUUCUUAAAGGGCCAGAUAUGAAAUGUUGUAGGCUUUGCAGGCCGGAUGGUCUCUGCACACUACUCACCUCAACUACUGUAGAUAGGAAGUAGCUGUAGACAGUACAUGAACAAUGUAGAGUGACUAUGUCCCAGGAAAACUUUAUUUACAAAAAGAGGCACAUUGCUGUGAACCUGAAACUGGUCUGAGAAAAUAAAGUCUGCUGAAAGGAAAGCCCAGAGUUCCCAUCGUGGCUCAGCAGUAACAAACCAGACUAGUAUCCCUGAGGCUGUGGCUGCAAUCUCUGGCCUCGAUCAGUGGGUUAAGGAUCCAGCGUUGCCAUGGUGUAGAUUGAAGAUGCGGCUCAGAUCUUGUGUUGCUGUGGCUGUGGUGUAGGCCAGCAGCUGCAGCUCCGAUUCUAUGCCCUAAAAAAGAAAGGAAGGAAGGAAGAAAUGAAGGAAGAAGGAAGAAAGAAACGAAGACAGAAGCAACAGCAUCAUUUUUGUAUUCUUCUCGACAGUGAUGUAUAACCUAAAUCCGAUCAUCAGACAGAACUUAAUUAAGGGACAUUCUGCAAGAUAAUUGGCCAGUAAACUUCAGAAUUAUCAAGUUCAUAAGGACAAAGAAAGCAUGAAAAUUAUUCUAGGUUGAAGGAGACCAAAGAGAUAUGACAACUAAAUGCAACAUGUGGUUCUAACUAGUCAGAAUCUUGAACAAGUCUGAACAUUCUGUGGUAGAAAUGUGUUAUCACCUAUUUCCCAAUGGUGAUGGCUGCAUUAUUUGUUGUAGGAGAUUGUCCUUGUUGGAAAUAAACACAAAGGUGUCUGGGUGAGAUGGAGCAUCACUGUCAGCAGCUUACUCUCAAAGGACACAGGGGAAAAAUGGUUUUGUAUUGUACUUGCAACUUAUUCUAUAAGUUUGAGACAUUGUUUCAGCAUUCUUAAAACAUGUAUCAUUAACAGCAAGUAAAUUUGUUGCAGAAAAACAAAAACAGGCAGCCUAGUUUGACAACCCCCUACAUACUUUGAUGCUCUCCUGGAUAUUCUUGUUGUUACUGUUUCCAUACAAAUUUUAAAAUUAAUUUAUCAAUUUCCACCAAAAAAAAAAAAAA
rnacentral:lncRNA from 1 species